rnacentral:rRNA from 1 species
CAUACAUACUACGCUGAACACACCCAAUCUCCUCUGAUCUCAGAGAUUAAGCAGGACAAGGCCUGGUUAAUAUUUAAUAUUUGGAUGGGAGAAAGUAUAAGAUUGAAUGC